GCCGGGCCUUGAGCUGCCAUUUGCUUCACAUCUUCUUUCUUUCCGCCUUAAAUAAACCCUCGCGGGUCUCGACGGCCGCUUAAAGCACUUAAAUUGAACGUCCCCUGAACGGUGCCGUUCGUGUUGAGAGAGGAAUUUGGAUGGCUUUGUGUGGGUCGGAGCGGGCGUGCAGAAAAUGUUGGAAAGAAUGAUUCUGUUUGAAAUGAAACCAAGAAAAGAACGAAGAAAGCUUGUAGGAAUUCUCUCAUCCCAU
rnacentral:lncRNA from 1 species